CCUACGGGCGGCAGCAGUGGGGAAUAUUGGACAAUGGGCGAAAGCCUGAUCCAGCCAUGCCGCGUGUGUGAAGAAGGCCUUCGGGUUGUAAAGCACUUUCAGUGGGGAAGGAAGCCUUGGGGCUAAUACCCUCGAGGAAGGACAUCACCCACAGAAGAAGCACCGGCUAACUCCGUGCCAGCAGCCGCGGUAAUACGGAGGGUGCGAGCGUUAAUCGGAAUUACUGGGCGUAAAGCGCGCGUAGGCGGUCUGAUAAGCCGGUUGUGAAAGCCCCGGGCUCAACCUGGGAACGGCAUCCGGAACUGUCAGGCUAGAGUGCAGGAGAGGAAGGUAGAAUUCCCGGUGUAGCGGUGAAAUGCGUAGAGAUCGGGAGGAAUACCAGUGGCGAAGGCGGCCUUCUGGACUGACACUGACGCUGAGGUGCGAAAGCGUGGGUAGCAAACAGGAUUAGAUACCCGUGUAGUC
rnacentral:rRNA from 1 species